CACGUAGUUAGCCGUGGCUUUCUGAUUAGAUACCGUCAAGAUGUGCACAGUUACUUACACAUUUGUUCUUCCCUAAUAACAGAGUUUUACGAGCCGAAACCCUUCAUCACUCACGCGGCGUUGCUCCGUCAGGCUUUCGCCCAUUGCGGAAGAUUCCCUACUGCUGCCUCCCGUAGGAGUCUGGACCGUGUCUCAGUUCCAGUGUGGCCGAUCACCCUCUCAGGUCGGCUACGUAUCGUCGCCUUGGUAAGCCGUUACCUUACCAACUAGCUAAUACGGCGCGGGUCCAUCUAUAAGUGAUAGCAAAACCAUCUUUCACUUUAGAACCAUGCGGUUCUAAAUGUUAUCCGGUAUUAGCUCCGGUUUCCCGAAGUUAUCCCAGUCUUAUAGGUAGGUUACCCACGUGUUACUCACCCGUCCGCCGCUAACUUCAAAGGAGCAAGCUCCUUAUCUGUUCGCUCGACUUGCAUGUAUUAGGCACGCCGCCAGCGUUCAUCCUGAGCCAGGAUCAAACUCU
rnacentral:rRNA from 1 species